GAAUUUUUUCUAUGUCGCGUAUCAUGCGGUCAAAACGUAUGACGUCAUCGCAUGCGAUCUCAUUAUGCAAUUUAAAGAUGGCAGCUUGUUAAUUGCCGAUUUGCCGGCUGUUUACUUCAAUGAAAUUUCGUUCUGUUGCUGUUCUCUAUAAGGUUCGAAGGAAGCCUUGCAGAAUAUUUUUCUCUUCACAAGAUCAUUUUAAACGGAGUAUAUAUAUAUAUGGCUGGAGAAUUGCUAACAGGAAGGUGCCGGGGAGAGAAUUUUUAAGAGAGUUUUCACAUAUAUUUCGAAGAAUCGAACUACUAAGGUGACAAGGUCUGUCUACUCUGUGCAGACUGUUCUUGGCUAGGGGGUCGGUGGAUAAUACAAAGCAAAAGGUAUGUUGUAUACAUGUGCUAUAUAUCUUAAUUGUUUUUUUACUAAUUCUAGAUUAAUUAUUAAAAAUUACUUUUGAGCAUUCGUUGGAAUAUAUUUUUUGAAUACAAUUCGCCAAACAGGAAAAUUUGCUUUCAAUGCAUGCAGUUUAUAGAAGGGAAAUUGUGGUUUUUGUAUUAUUUUUUCAGUUAAUUUGUCUGUAUGAAGUUGUAUAAAACAAUACCAAAUUAUAGAGAUAAUUUUGGAAUGAUAUACCAAAAAGAAAACAGGU